rnacentral:rRNA from 1 species
GACGAACGCUGGCGGCGUGCCUAAUACAUGCAAGUUGAGCGAUGAAGCUUGGUGCUUGCACCAAUUUGAAGAGCAGCGAACGGGUGAGUAACGCGUGGGGAAUCUGCCUUUGAGCGGGGGACAACAUUUGGAAACGAAUGCUAAUACCGCAUAAUAACUUUAAACAUAAGUUUUAAGUUUGAAAGAUGCAAUUGCAUCACUCAAAGAUGAUCCCGCGUUGUAUUAGCUAGUUGGUGAGGUAAAGGCUCACCAAGGCGAUGAUACAUAGCCGACCUGAGAGGGUGAUCGGCCACAUUGGGACUGAGACGCGGCCCAAACUCCUACGGGAGGCAGCAGUAGGGAAUCUUCGGCAAUGGACGAAAGUCUGACCGAGCAACGCCGCGUGAGUGAAGAAGGUUUUCGGAUCGUAAAACUCUGUUGGUAGAGAAGAACGUUGGUGAGAGUGGAAAGCUCAUCAAGUGACGGUAACUACCCAGAAAGGGACGGCUAACUACGUG